rnacentral:rRNA from 1 species
UACGUAGGUGACCAGCGUUGUCCGGAUUUACUGGGCGUAAAGAGCGCGCAGGCGGUCGUUCAAGUCGAGUGUGAAAGCCCCCGGCUCAACUGGGGAGGGUCACUCGAUACUGAUCGACUUGAAGGCAGGAGAGGGAAGCGGAAUUCCCGGUGUAGUGGUGAAAUGCGUAGAUAUCGGGAGGAACACCAGUGGCGAAGGCGGCUCCCUGGCCUGUUCUUGACGCUGAGGCGCGAAAGCUAGGGGAGCAAACGGG